rnacentral:rRNA from 1 species
CCUACGGGAGGCAGCAGUGGGGAAUAUUGGACAAUGGGGGCAACCCUGAUCCAGCAAUGCCGCGUGUGUGAAGAAGGCUUUCGGGUUGUAAAGCACUUUCAGAGGGGAAGAAGGCGAUAAUGCUAAUAACAUUGUCGAUUGACAUUACCCUCAGAAGAAGCACCGGCUAACUCUGUGCCAGCAGCCGCGGUAAUACAGAGGGUGCGAGCGUUAAUCGGAAUUACUGGGCGUAAAGGGUGCGUAGGUGGUUCAAUCAGUCAGGCGUGAAAUCCCCAAGCUCAACUUGGGAAUUGCGUUUGAUACUGUUGAACUAGAGUAUGGUAGAGGGAAGUGGAA